rnacentral:rRNA from 1 species
CACGUAGGGGGCGAGCGUUGUCCGGAUUUAUUGGGCGUAAAGCGCUCGUAGGCGGUUUGUCGCGUCGGCUGUGAAAACUCGGGGCUCAACCCCGAGCCUGCAGUCGAUACAGGCAAACUAGAGUGUGGUAGGGGAGACUGGAAUUCCUGGUGUAGCGGUGAAAUGCGCAGAUAUCAGGAGGAACACCGGCGGCGAAGGCGGGUCUCUGGGCCAUAACUGACGCUGAGGAGCGAAAGCGUGGGGAGCGAACAGG